rnacentral:rRNA from 1 species
AUGCACGCUGGCGGCGUGCCUCAUCCCUGCCAGUCGAGCGAACAGACGAGGAGCUUGCUCCUCUGACGUUAGCGGCGGACGGGUGAGUAACACGUGGAUAACCUACCUAUAAGACUGGGAUAACUUCGGGAAACCGGAGCUAAUACCGGAUAAUAUAUUGAACCGCAUGGUUCAAUAGUGAAAGACGGUUUUGCUGUCACUUAUAGAUGGAUCCGCGCCGCAUUAGCUAGUUGGUAAGGUAACGGCUUACCAAGGCAACGAUGCGUAGCCGACCUGAGAGGGUGAUCGGCCACACUGGAACUGAGACACGGUCCAGACUCCUACGGGAGGCAGCAGUAGGGAAUCUUCCGCAAUGGGCGAAAGUCUGACGGAGCAACGCCGCGUGAGUGAUGAAGGUCUUCGGAUCGUAAAACUCUGUUAUUAGGGAAGAACAAAUGUGUAAGUAACUAUGCACGUCUUGACGGUACCUAAUCAGAAAGCCACGGCUAACUACGUG